AUAGAGAAAUAAGUGUUUCGCGAAUCAAAAAGAGCCCAAACAAUCAUUCAAAAGCUCAUUACCUAGUGCUGCUGUUACGCUCAGAAAAAUCCAGAGGACAACGUCAGGAAUUCGAAAGAACCAUUCGGAAGAAGAAAAGUUCGGAAACAUUCGGAACGGGACUGAUGAAUCUAAUGGCCUUUUAGCGAAAACGAUCUACGAGGAUGGAGCCGGUCAAAUUUAUCGAAGCACCAUGCAUGAAAGGUCUUCUAAGCCUAUGAACUAGAAUUUCCUGCAAAAAUGCUCAUCAAAAGUCAAAGAAAGAACUAAAUUUGCUUGCAACAGCAGCAACCGUCGACUUAGCCCAUACUCUAUCGGAAAAAGGGGCCAUCCGUGAUUGAGGGAUCUCGUCCAACUGUGGACACUGAAUGCCAGACACAGUGAUAGAAUUUCAAUCAACGAGAUCACCAACAAUCGGUUAAACUUAGGCAAAGGUCAAGCUGCUUUUUAUCAAGACAUUCAACUCAUGGAAUUUACUCCAACAAAGUAUUUUUAGUGGAUAAGGUUUUUGCCUCCAAGUAUCUUACAGUAAAACCAAUAGUCGAACAAGCCUGCUGACCAAGAACAAUAAAUCAACAAGAGAAUAAUAGAACUGAACCCAACUGAGAGCACGGUUGCUUCAAAAUAAAUUUCAUUAUUAUUCCACCUUCACCUAUGCCGAAAAAAAUUCGAUGACAAUUGACAACUUGGAUUGAUCUCAACCAAAGUAAGAACCCAGAACAAGAUGGAAUUAGUGCUGGAAUCACGAACAAUUUGUCGGUAAAUGUUGACAUUUAUUCUACCUUAUAAGGACUCUUGCGAUCUUCUUAUCUCAGGCUAUUAAUUCAACUUGAACAAAAGUAACAAAAUUUUGGAGCAACCCUUUAUUUAGGUUUUUCUUCUGGAUUCAAUUGUGAUGGCAAUACAGGAAAUUCUGCUAACACUCAGAGAUGCUGACGAUCCAUUUAACUUAGUGGCGGUAUCACAACCUCAUCAGAAACAACAGUCGAAGAACGAGAACCGGAAAUUUUUGGAAAACCGAUGGCUUUAAAAUAGGAUACGUUGGAAUAUGGAAAGGUAUUUUACAUUUGAUAGUAAAACAUUUUACCAUGCCACAGUUUACUGGUAAAAUUCUAUUCUAUUUCUUCUAAAUAGGUUAAACGAACUUAUUUUGGACAGAUGUAGUUCAGACCCGGUUUAAGAAUAUUUGUGCAUUUUUUCCAAAAUAAAUUCCUUAUCCAAAAUAAGUCUGUUAUCCUAUUUAUCAUCAAAGCUAGUAUUCGUAAUAUUGUUUAUUUACAUUUCGUAUUAACCUGUGGC